rnacentral:RNase_P_RNA from 1 species
CGAGCAAACCGCCUUAUCGCUACUUCCAUUUAUGGAAAUAGAGGAAAGUCUGGACACCAUAGGGAUGCAUAAUGGGUAACACCCAUCCGUGGCUUGCCAUGAGGACAAGUGCAACAGAAAGUAUGUACAGGUAAUGCUGUAGUGAAACCAGGUAAACUCUAUGCGGUGAAAUGUCAUGUAUAUUUAGCGUUUGAGGGUUCCCGCCCGAUGCUUUAGGGGUAGGCAGAUAGAGCUAUCGAGUAAUUGAUAGCCGAGAUAAAUGAUAAGGGUGUGUUUUCGAACACAUACAGGAUCCGGCUUAUAGGUUUGCUCUUUUU